GAUGAACGCUGGCGGCGUGCUUAAUACAUGCAAGUCGAGCGAACAGAUGAGGAGCUUGCUCCUCUGACGUUAGCGGCGGACGGGUGAGUAACACGUGGAUAACCUACCUAUAAGACUGGGAUAACUUCGGGAAACCGGAGCUAAUACCGGAUAAUAUAUUGAACCGCAUGGUUCAAUAGUGAAAGACGGUUUUGCUGUCACUUAUAGAUGGAUCCGCGCCGCAUUAGCUAGUUGGUAAGGUAACGGCUUACCCAGGCAACGAUGCGUAGGCGACCUGAGAGAGUGAUCGGCCGCACUGGAACUGAGACACGGUCCAGACUCCUACGAGAGGCAGCAGUAGGGAAUCUGCCGCAAUGGGCGAAAGCCUGACGGAGCAACGCCGCGUGAGUGAUGAAGGUCUUCGGAUCGUAAAACUCUGUUAUUAGGGAAGAACAAAUGUGUAAGUAACUAUGCACGUCUUGACGGUACCUAAUCAGAAAGCCACGGCUAACUACGUG
rnacentral:rRNA from 1 species